rnacentral:rRNA from 1 species
GUAGGGAAUCUUCGGCAAUGGACGAAAGUCUGACCGAGCAACGCCGCGUGAGUGAAGAAGGUUUUCGGAUCGUAAAACUCUGUUGGUAGAGAAGAACGUUGGUGAGAGUGGAAAGCUCAUCAAGUGACGGUAACUACCCAGAAAGGGACGGCUAACUACGUGCCAGCAGCCGCGGUAAUACGUAGGUCCCAAGCGUUGUCCGGAUUUAUUGGGCGUAAAGCGAGCGCAGGUGGUUUCUUAAGUCUGAUGUAAAAGGCAGUGGCUCAACCAUUGUGUGCAUUGGAAACUGGGAGACUUGAGUGCAGGAGAGGAGAGUGGAAUUCCAUGUGUAGCGGUGAAAUGCGUAGAUAUAUGGAGGAACACCGGUGGCGAAAGCGGCUCUCUGGCCUGUAACUGACACUGAGGCUCGAAAGCGUGGGGAGCAAACAGGAUUAGAUACCCCAGUAGUCC